rnacentral:rRNA from 1 species
UAUGGUAGUGUGCCAGCCGCCACGGUAAUACGUAGGGGGCAAGCGUUAUCCGGAUUUACUGGGUGUAAAGGGAGCGUAGACGGAGCAGCAAGUCUGAUGUGAAAACCCGGGGCUCAACCCCGGGACUGCAUUGGAAACUGUUGAUCUGGAGUGCCGGAGAGGUAAGCGGAAUUCCUAGUGUAGCGGUGAAAUGCGUAGAUAUUAGGAGGAACACCAGUGGCGAAGGCGGCUUACUGGACGGUAACUGACGUUGAGGCUCGAAAGCGUGGGGAGCAAACAGG